CUCCGACUCCCUGUCCAAGGAAGAACGCACGAGACACUGGCUGCAAAAGCAAGAGGCAGUUUAUUGGUACACAGGCGCCUGCGGGUGCGCAGCAGAACCUCAGCCGGAGCUUCGGUGAACUGGCACACCGGGCUUUGGGGCACAGAUCUUUUAUGGGGUAAAGGAGCAGGUUUCGUGCGCGCAGCAAGCAACAGGUUUCUUAUUGGUCAUUUUGAACCUAGCAUAUAGGUCACCUAAAGAGCAAGGUCGUUUUUCACUGUAUGUUCCUGGAAAACCCACGGUUUUACAUUCCAUUCUUUCUGUUCCUGCUUAUCUGUUCCGGUUUUCCCAAUCGUGUCCUGGGACACAAUUACCCGGUUCUGUUCCUGCUUAUCUGUUCCGGUUUGCCCGAUCGUGUCCUGGGACACAAUUACCCGGUUCUUUCCCAACCAUCCUGUUCUUUUCUAAUCGGUUACAUUUAACUGGUUAUAUGAAAAACACAUCUGGUGCCUGUUAACUGGUUAUCUGAAAAACACAUCUGGUGCCUGCGCAGGUUUGUAGCAUGCCCUGAUGAUUUUGUAACUGGGCCUAAAGUUAUUGGGCUGGGGUCUCUCAUUCCCCCCUUUUUCUUGAACAUGGAUAGAAUCUUAUAUCCAUCUGUCUGCUUGUUCGGGGUCUUGAACCAGGCUCGUCUGCGACCCUGUUUGUUGCUUAAGCAACUGGUAUUGUUGAGUUAGAACCAUAGUCUGGAUUAUGGAAAGUCUUUCUUUCAUGAACUGCACUAGUCUAUUAAGUAUACAAGGUCCAAAUGUCAGGAGUAACAGCAAAAUAACCAAAGGUCCUGCUAUGGUAGAUAGCAGAGUAGUUAACCAUGGGGAUUUACUAAACCAGUGUUCAAACCAUCCUUGUUGAGACUCAAAUUCUUUUUGUCUCUUGGCCAACCUUUCAGUGACCUUUUCCAUAGUUUCUCUGACUACUCCAGUAUGGUCAGCAUAGAAACAGCACUGUUCUUGAAGGGCUACACAAAGACCACCUUCUCUGAGGAACAACAGAUCUAAUCCUCUCCUAUUCUGCAGCACUACUUCCGAGAGGGAGGAGAGAGAUUUUUCUAGGGCUGUGAUAGACUUGGCCAUUGCAGUUAAAUCCUCGUUCAUUGCUGCCUGUAGUUGCAAUAAUUGGUUACCUUGCACUAGCGCAACAGUUCCUGUUCCUAUUCCGGCUGCUAUUCCUCCAAUUCCCAGUAGUAGAGCUAUGGUCAUGCUUAUGGGCUCUCUAGGGUACCUCUUCCGUCCCUCAAGGUGUUCUAGGACAUAGUCUGACCCUAGAUAUGAUAUCUUAGGCCAUAAUUGUAUUAAUACGCAAAAAUCAGUGGUUGCAUUGAGGACUGCCGUAGAAAUACAAGGGGUCAGUCCGGUAUUGCAGGCCCAGUAAGUUCCGUGGGGACCCCACAAAUAGUUAUUUUGUGAGCCUGUCACUGGGAGGGUAGUAUUACAGAGAUGUUGGUGUGAUAGGGGUACGUUCCCCAUACAGACCCCUUGUCCUGUUACUUCAGUGAUGGUAAGUUUAUAGCUUGGUAGGGAAACACACUUAGGGUCAGGGUUUGUGCUACUGUUCCAGUCAGACAUAAUUGCUAUCCCUUCAUAGUAAGGUGGGCCAGAGGUGAGACACAGCCAACAAUCUUGGGUGCGAUUUGGGCUGGUGGCGUUGAGGGCAUAAAAUGCUCCUUGAAUCAAAUUUAACAAUCGGUCUCCAGUCCCAGGGUGAAUGGGCUCAGGGGAAUAACUAGAGGUUUGAUAAUCCAUAGUUACAGUUUGAGGCAUGGGUGGCUUACUGGAGGGAACCUUCGGCUGCUUGGUAGUGAGGGGAUCUUUUGGUCUCCGAGUACGGAAUUAGGUCCUAUCGAGCUAAUUAUAGCUGGGGUUUGGGACAGUCUGAUGGUGAAAAUUACACCUGGAUCGUACCCAGUCAUAUACCAUCUGAGUCCCCAUGUUCUACCAGUAAGCCAGGGAUCGAUAGUCUCCUUGCCUUUGUCCGUGAAUUGUAUCUUAAGGGGCAAUUGGCAGGAGGAAGGGGGCCCGGUGUAAUUUUUGGACACCUGUAUCAGGUCCCAACUCGAGGUGGGGUUCCAGUAUGCAUCUCCGGUGGUUUCGCAGCCCCAGGAGGAGCAGUAGUAUGCUUCAGUGCCCCCACAUUUGAAUACUCGGGAUCUGUCUCGUCCGUCCCGGGGGCAGACAUAAAAAUCAGUUUGAGCUAGCUGGCACCCAGCAGAGCAGCCAUCCUGGAGCUUGUGGUGGCCUUGUUGGUAGGGCUCUAUCAGCUUACAAGAGUCAGGAAGGGUCAGGGUGGGCCACCAGGUGCCAGGGGUAUGGGUUGCUGUAAUUGACCAAAUUAUUUCCCCCGUUUGAGAGUAUACCUGCCAAAUCAACUUCAUGGGAACAUGGGGGUUAUUACCUAAGACAAGGGGAGCAAAACAAAGAGCAAAGACAGUUAACAGCGCGUAAGUCUUAUCUUUAGCGGGUUUUGAGUACGUUGUAACUUCCAUCCCGAAUCUUGAUGGGUGUCGGCUGAUUCUAACGGCUGAGCAGUCUUCACGUGGGAAGCGUGGAUUCAAGCAGCAAUGCCGUCCACCUUGAUGGCGGUGGGGGUGGUCAGCAGGACAGUGUAGGGUCCUUUCCACCGAGGUUCGAGGUUCUUGCUCUGAUGUCUGCGUACCCAGACGGUGUCCCCGAUUUUGAAGGAAUGUGGCACCGAAGGGGUUUUGAGUUCUUCUUUAUAUGCCGCUGCUAAUGGCUUCCAGACCUCGUUCUGGACCAAUUGUAGUGCGCGUAAAUGAGUCUGCACAGAUGGGGUGAGGGAGGCAGAAAUUUCAGUUUCAUAGAAAUUAACAGCAGGUGGUGGGGCACCAUAUAGGAUUUCAAAUGGGGUUAGUCCCUGAGGGCUAGGAGUAUUUCUGGCCCGAUAUAAAGCUGAGGGUAGGAGUUGUACCCAGUCUCUAGUGCCAGUUUCAAACGUUAAUUUAGUUAAAGUCUCCUUGAUUGUUCUAUUCAUUCUUUCUACUUGCCCUGAGCUUUGGGGUCUAUAUGCACAAUGUAACUUCCAAUUAAUCCCCAGCGAAUUGGCCACCGCCUGACUUACCUGGGAGACGAAGGCAGGCCCGUUAUCCGACCCAAUUGUUCCGGGUACCCCAUACCUUGGGAAAAUUUCUUCCAAUAGCUUCUUAGCAACGGUUUUGGCAGUUUCAUGCCGGGUGGGGAAUGCCUCUACCCAUCCGGAAAAAGUAUCAACAAAGACUAGAAGAUAUUUAUAUCCAUACAUACCAGGUUUGACUUCAGUGAAGUCUAUUUCCCAAUGUGUCCCGGGUUUAUGUCCUCGAACCCGGACUCCUGUUCCAAGUUUAACUUUACCAGCAUUUACCUGGGCACAUGCCUGACAAUUUUCUGCAACCCGCUGGAGGAGUCGAUCCCUAUUUGGAAGAUAUAGAGUACCCUCUCCACGGUCUAAGAGUUCUUUCAUCUUUUUAGCCCCAAGAUGUGUCAGUUUGUGUAAUGAUUUUACUAAUUCUUUAACAUUUUUAAGGGGCAUUAUGGUUUUUCCCUGAUAUUCCCAGGUAUGGUCCUCUGGGUUGUAAGAGGCGUCUAGCUUCUGUAUGAUAUCCAGAUCUUGGUCCUCAUAGACCCAUUUAUCCUCAUAGUCAUCAUGUUGUGGGUUAGCCCGUUGGGGCAACAAAGUCAUUACCAAGAGUUGAGGCCCCUGGGCUGCUUUUCUGCUGUCUCAUCCGCCAAUCUGUUUCCCCUGGCCUCCGGAGUAUCUCCUCUUUGAUGGCCAGGGCAAUGCAUGAUACUUAACUUUUUAGGCAGAAAUAGAGCUUUAAGUAAGGCCAAUAUUUCAGUCUUAUUUUUGAUUUCUUUCCCAUCUGAAGUUAGUAGCCCUCGCCGUCUGUAAUUUUCCCCGUGUAUAUGAGCAGUGGCAAAGGCAUAUCUACUGUCCGUAUACACAUUUAGCUUCUUUCCCUCAGCCAACUUUAGGCUUGUGUCAGAGCUAUUAGUUCUGCCCGCUGAGCUGAGGUUCCACCCGGCAAUGCACUCGUCCAGAUUACCUCAGAUUCGGUGGUGAUGGCUGCUCCUGCUCGCCGUUCCCCAUUGAGCAAAUAACUGCUCCCGUCGGUGUACCAGACCAGUUCUGCAUCUUUCAUAGGUUGGUCCGUGAGGUCUGGUCGGGUUCCUUGUGUUUCUGCAAGAAUCUGCUGGCAGUUGUGGGGAUUUGCUUUUCCAGGAAGCGGCAGGAGGGUUGCUGGGUUCAGUGUGACCAUGGGGCCGAACUGAAUCCGGUCCGUGUCCAGCAGCAAGGACUGGUAAUGGGUGAGUCGGGCGUUGGACACCCAGCGGUCAGGUGGUUGGCGAAUUAUUGCCUCGAUGGCAUGAGGGGUUAACAAAGUUAAUGGCUGUCCCAGAGUCAGCUUAGUGGCAUCCUUAAUUAGGAUAGCCACUGCUGCUAUCAUUCGAAGACAUGGUGGCCAUCCUGACGCCACUGGAUCCAAUUUCUUGGACAGAUAGGCUAUAGGACGCCUCCAGGGUCCCAGUUUUGGGGUUAGGACUCCUUUAGCAUAGCCCUGUUUUUCAUCCACAAACAAGUCAAAAGGCUUGGUAACGUCUGUCAGCCCCUAAGGCGGGGGCUGACAGAAGGGCCAAUUUGAUAUGAUCAAAUGCCAAUUGGUGCUCCUCAGUCCAGGUAAAGGGGUUGCUUUGUUUGGUUAGCAGGUAUAAGGGGGCCGCUAUCUCGGCAAACCCAGGAAUCCAAAGUCUGCAGAAACCUGCUGUGCCCAGAAAUUGCCGUAGUUGUUUAGGGUUCUGGGGAGUUGGUAUGCUCGAGAUAGUUUCUUUCCUGGCUGUGGUUAGCCAUCGUUGGCCAUUAUGAAGUUCAUAGCCAAGGUAAGUAACUUUUGUCUGACAGAUUUGUGCCUUUUUAGCCGAUGCCCUGUACCCCAACUGUCCCAAAGUUCGCAAUAAUGCCUCCGUACCUGUAAGGCAGUCCUCCUCGGUGGUAGCAGCCAACAGGAUGUCAUCUACAUAUUGGAGCAUAAUUAAGGAGGGGUGUCUUACGCGGAAAUCGGCCAGGUCCUGAUGUAAGGCUUCAUCGAAGAGCGUCGGGCUAUUCUUGAACCCUUGUGGCAGUCUGGUCCAGGUCAAUUGACCGGAGACCCCUUUGUCGGGAUCUUUCCAUUCAAAUGCAAAGAGAGCCUGGCUUUGAGGGCACAGUCUCAAACAGAAAAAGGCAUCUUUUACGUCUAGAACGGUGUACCAAGUAUGGGUGGGAGGCAAGGUGCUGAGGAGAUUGUAGGGGUUAGGCACCGUGGGGUGGAUGUCCUCUACCCUUUUGUUUACCUCUCUUAAGUCCUGGACAGGCCUAUAAUCAUUUGUCCCCGGCUUCUUAACUGGUAGCAAUGGGGUGUUCCAGGGCAAUCGGCAAGGGGUUAGAAUGCCUUGGUCUAGGAGGCGUUUGAUAUGUGGCCUGAUGCCUUGGUAAGCUUCUCUUGACAUGGGAUACUGUUAUUCACGGGAGUAGCAGUGGUUUUUAGGUGAAUGACUAUUGGAGGUUGUUGUUUAGCCAUUCCCAUUCCACCGGUUUCAGCCCAGGCCUCCGGGUAGGAUUCAAGCCAAUAAUUUAUGUCCUUAUCAGAUACAGGAGGUUUAUCAAAAAGUUUAUAUUCAUCUUCUAAUUUGAAAGUUAGUACAUGUAAGGGGGCCUGAUCUGGCCCCGUAACGGAGGCACUCCCAUUUUUAAAAUAGAUUUGAGCUCUCAACUUGGUUAAUAAGUCUCUUCCUAGUAGUGGAUACGGACAAUCAGGCACAUGCAGAAACGAAUGGGAAACUUUACCUGUAGCAAGGUGUACUUCCCUCUUGGUGGUCCAUCGGUACGGCUUGCUUCCAGUGGCGCCUUGGACCCACGUCGUUUUGUGGCUCAUGGGUCCUGGCGUUCGUGUUAACACCGAAUGUUGGGCUCCAGUAUCUACUAGGAAGGUUACAGGUUGCCCCCCUACUUGCAAAGUUACCCGGGGCUCAGGGGGGAGCUCCUGGCCCUGACUCCCCUAAUCUUCAUCCAGGGCUAGUAAUUGAGGGGUCCGGUUAGUACCUCUUCGGGUAUUGGGGGGUUUCUUUGGACAGUCCUUAACCCAAUGUCCUUUCUCCUUGCAGUAGGCACAUUGGUCUCGGUCUAUACGGGGUCUGCCUCGUUCCCUUUCCCUACCUGUUCUAUCUCCUCGUUGCCCUGCCUGAGUUACAGUGGCCAAUAUCUUACUUAAUUCUUUAUUACGCUUUCGAUCUUUUUCUCUUUCUCUCUUAUCUAACUCUUCUCUAAAUUUAAGAUCUCUUUCUUCCUGCAUUUUUCUGAUCCUUUCUUCCUUUUCCUCUGGGGUUUCUCUCUUAUUAAAAAUCUUUUCUGCUUCCUUCAAUAAGUCCGUUAAAGUGAAAUCUUGUAGGUUAUCUAAUCUUUGCAAUUUGGUCCUAAUGUCUGGAGCGGAUUGCCAAAUGAAAGCCAUGGAUAUGUUUCCCUUCUGAUCCUCACUAUCGGGGUCGAAAGGAGUGUAUCUCCGAUAGGCUUCUUUUAGUCUCUCUAGGAAUGCGGUCGGAGUUUCCUCUGAGCCCUGGGUGGUUUGUCUUACCUGAGCCAAAUUGGUGGGCCGUCACCCUGCUCCGUGGAGACCCGCUAUGAGUAACUGGCGACAGAGACGUAGGUGGUUCCUACCUGCAUCAGUAUUAUAAUCCCAAUCCGGUCGAAUUAAGGGAAAAGCUUCAUUGAUCAAAUUUGGGAGUUGGGUAGGGCGCCCAUCAUCUCCCGGCACAUUUUUACGGGCCUCUAAGAGAACUUUUUGUCUCUCCUCUGAAGUGAGAAGAGUCUGCAAAAGCUGCUGACAGUCAUCCCAUGUUGGUUGAUGAGUCACUAGAAUAGAUUCAAUCAGGGAAGUUAGGGCUACAGGGUCAUUGGUAAAGGAGGGAUUGUGGGUUUUCCAGUUAUAAAGAUCAGAGGCGGAGAAAGGCCAAUACUGAUAUUGGCCGUUAGGACCUCCCGUCUGCCGCAAGGGGAAGGCCCUUGAAGUAUCCCCUGGGGCGGCAGGUUCUCAGCGCCCACGAAGUCUUCCCACCAUGGGGGAUGGGCCCGGAGGGGCAUUGGUAGUUGGACCCUCUUGUUCUUCUUCUCCUGAAGAAACCUGGAUGGGAUCUGGAACUGGUAAAGGUUGGGGAUGGUAAGGUGGGGGUUCUUCAGUCAUUAGGUCUAUAAGAGUUGAAUCCUCUGGUGGUAAGACCUUCUUGGGUUUUGUCCCUGCUAGGGUCACGUUUUCGGGUUUAUCUAGAACAGGGUAAAGCCUAGAGGUUUGAGGAGGGGGUGCGGGUAUCAGGAUAAGUGGAGCAGAAGGUGGGGGUGGGGCUUCAAGGGGAGAAUGGGGAGGAAGCUUAGGUGGAGAGAAAGGGGCGACCCAAGGAGGCGGGUCGGAGGCCAGAUCUUCCCAGGUAACAAUGUAGGGCACUUGAUCGGGGUGUCCUUGAGGACCUUGGGUGAAAACCCGAGACUUCAUCUGUGAAAUAAGAUCAAGGUUAAAUGUCCCUUCUUUUGGCCAGCCAACAUCGAACGUUGGCCACUCCGUGGUGCAGAGUGUUAUCCAUCUUUUCUUUUUGAUUUCUACUGACCGGUUGUUAGCCCGGUUCCGGACGUCCUGCCAGUGAUCAAGAGUAAGACUCAAGGGAGUUGUUAUAGAUUGUCCCAUGUUAGCCUUAGAUGGUAUGAGAAAGUACAGAGACAAGGAGACAGAUACAAAAAUCAGGCUGGACACAAAGAACGCUGCACGGCCUCGGCACAAACUGAAAGUAUCUGAUGGAUUAGGGGGAGGAGGGACUCCGUCACCCACAAGAACAGUGUACUCUUCGGAAACACUAGAGGCCCCAAAAAAAUGGGCCUCCUGAAUCCCUGGGACGUCUCCCAGGGUGGCAGGGGAGAAGUCCGAGUUCGUCAACUCCUUCUCAAGCUGCCCAGAAAACAGAGUGACUAUGCGUAAUCGUACAGACGCCGAGCACAGACAGAUAACGACUGAAGACUGCAAACAUAGAACAAAAAAGAGACACAAAAUGACACGAGCUGGCCAGCUUACCUCCCAGUGGUUGCCGGGUGUUCCUUGGGCAGGGAUCCGGACGGGGGCGCAGGGGGAUCUCGGUGGAACCUCCAAAUGAAAGACCCUCCGACUCCCUGUCCAAGGAAGAACGCACGAGACACUGGCUGCAAAAGCAAGAGGCAGUUUAUUGGUACACAGGCGCCUGCGGGUGCGCAGCAGAACCUCAGCCGGAGCUUCGGUGAACUGGCACACCGGGCUUUGGGGCACAGAUCUUUUAUGGGGUAAAGGAGCAGGUUUCGUGCGCGCGGCAAGGAACAGGUUUCUUAUUGGUCAUUUUGAACCUAGCAUAUAGGUCACCUAAAGAGCAAGGUCGUUUUUCACUGUAUGUUCCUGGAAAACCCACGGUUUUACAUUCCAUUCUUUCUGUUCCUGCUUAUCUGUUCCGGUUUUCCCGAUCGUGUCCUGGGACACAAUUACCCGGUUCUUUCCCAACCAUCCUGUUCUUUCCUAAUCGGUUACAUUUAACUGGUUAUAUGAAAAACACAUCUGGUGCCUGUUAACUGGUUAUCUGAAAAACACAUCUGGUGCCUGCGCAGGUUUGUAGCAUGCCCUGAUGAUUUUGUAACUGGGCCUAAAGUUAUUGGGCUGGGGUCUCUCAUUUCCAUACAUAGCAAACAGCUAAACCUGUCACCAUCACUUCUACUUCAUAACAGCCUGUACCUGCUGUCUGCUAAGCUGUGAGGGCGAUUCAUAGGCCAGUAACACCCAGACCUGCUGUUAAGGAGUGGCUGCUGUGAAAUUCCCACUAAUACACAGUGGAACCAAACAGUGUUGGCCCAACUGGAUUGUGCAUGGUCAUUGUGGCCUCCUUGGCUGUUUUACCUUUUCCUUUUGUUUCUGAAUCCUCUUCUAUGUGCCUGUAAAGCCACCUGGGUCCUAUGCAGGGUCUCCAGCAGCACUGAGGCUUGCUGCUCAACCAGGUGGCUUGUACUUCCUUUCUUAUUCUCUUCCAGCAUGGAAGGCCCUAAAGAAUGGGACUUACUUAGAAUCCAAUUAUUUGAGGGGACUAGCAUGGAUUAUCACAUGACAAUUUGAAGCAUAUAAUACAUGUGAACAACUCUUGAAACUCGAAGCAAUGGGUCCACCAAUAUUUCUCUAACAGGAAUUAAGCAUUUGGAUUAUGACCUUGAAGGAAAUGUUACAAUAUUUUCCUCUGGUGCUGGGGAUUGAACCCAGGGGCAUUCUACUACUGAGCUACACCCCAGCCAUUUUUAAAAAUUAUGAGACAGGGUCUUGCUAAAUUGCCCAGGCUGGCUUCAAACUUGUGACCUUCUGCCUUAGCCUCCCAAGUAGCUGAGAUUACAGGUAUGUACCACUGUACCCAAAAGGAAUUGCUAUAGUUGUUAAUAGGGUAAGACUGAUCAAUAGAUACUGAAUACUCACUCCUGUAUGCAGCCCUCUACAAUGUCUGUGGCCUGGGAGAAAGAAAUGUAUUAGUUAGGCUACUUACAUAGCAAACAGCUAAAUGGUGUUUACAGCAACACUGAGCAGUUCCCAGCACCAAGGAAAGUGUUAGUCAAGUGCCUGUGGGAUGUCUCUAUUUGGCCAUCACAAGAGCACUCUCUCAUCAUGAGUGACACUACGGUCACCCAAGUCAGGGAUCUCAGGUUCUCCUUGACACGUGACCCAUACCCAGGCACUAUAUUCCAGAGGGGCACUUCUGUGACUCCUCAUGGACAUACAGGGUGAUCUUGCCCUCUUUUCCCUCCCCCACAUCCUUGCAGUAUUCUAACACUUUCUCUGUCCCCACUUUGCCCUAGUGUCCACCCCACAGCCACAAUGGGUUCUCUAAAAUGCAAAUAAAGCUCUUCAGUGAAUACUCAUUUCCCUGAAGAUAAAAGUUCAAAUACUUUAACAAGAUAUAUAAAGCUGCUGGGUGUGGUGGCACAUGCCUA
rnacentral:lncRNA from 1 species